AAAGCAGAGAGUGGUAGCACCAUCAGUCCAGCCAGGUCGAGGUGCACUGCUGGGAGAAUUGAGGACAAAUGUAAGCACACUUUUGGCUCUGCACCAGAACGUGUCAGAAUUACGGGAAAAGUACACCAACUUGACUGGCAAUGUUGAGCAGCGUCUCAAGUGGGCAGCUGGUUCGAACCCAACCAUAGCUCAGGCAUUAGAAGAGUUCAGCAAUGGUGUAGAAGUGGCUCUAGAAGGUGUCAGUCAACUUGUGCAUCAGAGCAAGGAAGUGGCAUCCCUAUGUAAUGCUGUGCUACAUUAUGAGGCUCUUCG
rnacentral:lncRNA from 1 species